CCUACGGGAGGCUGCAGUCGAGAAUCAUUCACAAUGGGGGAAACCCUGAUGGUGCGACGCCGCGUGGGGGAAUGAAGGUCUUCGGAUUGUAAAUCCCUGUCAUGUGGGAGCAAAUUAAAAAGAUAGUACCACAAGAGGAAGAGACGGCUAACUCUGUGCCAGCAGCCGCGGUAAUACAGAGGUCUCAAGCGUUGUUCGGAAUCACUGGGCGUAAAGUGUGCGUAGGCUGUUUCGUAAGUCGUGUGUGAAAGGCGCGGGCUCAACCCGCGGACGGCACAUGAUACUGCGAGACUAGAGUAAUGGAGGGGGAACCGGAAUUCUCGGUGUAGCAGUGAAAUGCGUAGAUAUCGAGAGGAACACUCGUGGCGAAGGCGGGUUCCUGGACAUUAACUGACGCUGAGGCACGAAGGCCAGGGGAGCGAAAGGGAUUAGAUACCCUAGUAGUC
rnacentral:rRNA from 1 species